UGCGAACGCUCUCGGUAUACGAUCUAUACCGUGCCAGACUUGCGUCGGGAGAUUGAUUCUUUGACGAUGGAGCUAGCGAGCGAGGCUUUCACGGCAAUAAGAACACCGCCGCCAGAGGAUUUAUCGGCAUUGGACAAUGUACGAUCGCAACGAAAACAUAAAUAUCAUAGUCAUGUUCGAGGGACGACAAGAACACUGACUGCAAUCGAUUAGCACCGCGGAUGCUGUUCAUGUUUUGGAAAAGAAACGGACGUAGAGGAGGUGGGAGAAUUUGAGAACGUUGGCGGAGAAACGAUGACGGGUGCGUGCAAAUUGAGACUAGGGCUCGAAACGAAAGACCUCAGGGCGUGUGGAACGAGCAAAUUCGAACUCUCGGAAAUAU